ensembl:lncRNA
GGUCAGGGUCACCAUAUCCUGAGACACCCGCAGGGUUUGGGGUCACGGUCAGGGUCACCAUAUCCCAACUCCCCCUGAGACACCCGCAGGAAGUGGGGUCACGGUCAGAGUCACCAUAUCCUGAGACACCCGCAGGGUUUGGGGUCACGGUCACCAUGUCCCAACUCCCCUGACACACCUGCAGGGAGUGGGGUCAUGGUCAGGGUCACCAUAUCCCAACUCCCCUGAGACACCCCCAGGAAGUGGGGUCACGGUCAGGGUCACCAUAUCCUGAGACACCCGCAGGGUUUGGGGUCAUGGUCAGGGUCACCAUAUCCCAACUCCCCUGAGACACCCCCAGGAAGUGGGGUCACGGUCAGGGUCACCAUGUCCCAACUCCCCUGACACACCUGCAGGGAGUGGGGUCAUGGUCAGGGUCACCAUAUCCCAACUCCCCCUGAGACACCCCCAGGAAGUGGGGUCACGGUCAGGGUCACCAUAUCCUGAGACACCCGCAGGGUUUGGGGUCAGGGUCACCAUAUCCCAACUCCCCCUGAGACACCCCCAGGAAGUGGGGUCACGGUCAGGGUCACCAUGUCCAACUCCCCCAGACACACCCGCAGGGAGUGGGGUCACGGUCAGGGUCACCAUAUCCCAACUUCCUCCGAGAGUGGGGUCCCCAUUGUACAAUUAGCAAUUACAGUUAAGUGCCUUGCUCAAGGGCACAGCAACAGAUUGUUCACCUACUCAGGUCCGGUAUUCAGACCAGCGACCUUUCGGUUACCUGCCCAACACUCUGACCGCUAGGCUACCUGCAGCAUUACGACAGUGUUCAAACAGUAGCCUCGUGUCUCUUAAUAUGUUUCAUACCACAAAAACACCAGUACAGUCAUAUUGACCUUUGCGAUUGUAACCAUCUCUAACAUUGACCUUUCUCUAACCAUGAUAUUUUGUACAGAAUGUCUUUUUUUUUUAUUUUUACAUUGUAACACUUUAUACAGUUUUUGUUGUGUAAAUAAAUACCUGAAUCAUUAAA